AGACUUUUUCCACCUGGAAUCAUCAGUCCUUGGACCAAAGGAUACUUCAUACAAAGAACAAUUCAUCAUCAGCCCCCUGAAACUUGAUGUAAUACUCUAC